rnacentral:rRNA from 1 species
UACGUAGGGGGCUAGCGUUGUCCGGAAUCAUUGGGCGUAAAGCGCGUGUAGGCGGUCCGGUAAGUCCGCUGUGAAAGUCGGGGGGCUCAACCCUCGGAUGCCGGUGGAUACUGUCGGGCUUGAGUACGGAAGAGGCGAGUGGAAUUCCCGUGGUGUAGCGGUGAAAUGCGCAGAUAUCAGGAGGAACACCAAUUGCGAAGGCAGCUCGCUGGGACGUUACUGACGCUGAGACGCGAAAGCGUGGGGAGCAAACAGG